rnacentral:rRNA from 1 species
CCUACGGGGGGCUGCAGUAGGGAAUUUUCCGCAAUGGGCGCAAGCCUGACGGAGCAACGCCGCGUGAAGGAAGAAGGCCUUCGGGUCGUAAACUUUUGUCUUUGGGGACGAUAAUGACGGUACCCGAGGAGGAAGCCCCGGCUAACUACGUGCCAGCAGCCGCGGUAAUACGUAGGGGGCGAGCGUUGUCCGGAAUUACUGGGCGUAAAGGGCGUGUAGGCGGCCUAAUAAGUCAGGUGUGAAAUUCCAAGGCUUAACCUUGGCGCUGCACUUGAAACUGUUGGGCUUGAGGUCAGGAGAGGGAAGCGGAAUUCCCAGUGUAGCGGUGAAAUGCGUAGAUAUUGGGAGGAACACCAGUGGCGAAGGCGGCUUCCUGGACUGCACCUGACGCUGAGGCGCGAAAGCUAGGGUAGCGAACGGGCUUAGAUACCCUAGUAGUC